rnacentral:lncRNA from 1 species
UAUCUGAAAUCCAAGAAAUGAUUGUGUGACGUAGUUGGCUGAAUUUAAUAAUGUAGUUAAUUAGUUAUCGUUUUCUCUAGCUGAAAAAAUGUCCUGCACUAAAAUAACAUAGAAAAAAAUUAGAUCAGGUACACGUCAAAAAAAUACUUUUGUGUGUAUUUUCAUUUAUAAUAGGUCAGUCUAUUUCUCUACCAUGUGCAAUGUAUAAAGGAUUUGACAUCAGCUUGUAAGUUUUGCUAGCUAGUCAGGAUGUCGUUCAUGUUGUUAUCCAUGUGGUAGCCUAAGUGCAAGUAACCCAUGUGCAUCAUAUUAUAUAAUAUAUCCUAUAUAUGCAAUUUGCAAUUUAUCCAUGACAAAGGAGGCAACUUAAAAGAAAAGAAGGUGCAACGAAAAAGACUUUACACUCUGAAUUUGUACCGCUGCAAGCACUGCACCGGGAACAUGUGGCACGGUCAGAGUCUCGUCGCUUCUGGCACAUCUCGCCUUCGCCGGCAUGCAGCCUAACAUCUUAGUCCUCGCACAUGCUGGUAGUGAUGCGUUUUGCUCUUGGAUAAUAGCAUCGGCCGGGCUAAUAGAGAAAAUUGAUUAGCCCAGUCUGCAGUAUGCCCGUGUGUUUUCCGCUGAUUGAAAAGCUAGCUAGUCUUGGACCAAAUGGAUCCAGCUGCCCGCCUCUAGUGCCAGAUCGUGUAUUCAUGUGUCCCAGUAGAAUCAAGCCUAGCAUGUACAUACACUUGAGUCGGCGCCGUGCAGCCGCGCGGAAAGUUCCACGGUUGGAGGCCCUCCAAUCCAACUUCCGCAUCAUGCAGCCAUGUUAGCUAAUGCUGGCACACUCCGGUGUGCAGUCCCGUGUGUCAGGUUGUAAAGCCACAGCUGCGCGUCCACCUCGAGGCCGUUAAUAGGUUUGCAGGAUGGCAUGGAGAAUAGAGGCGCUAGGGUUUCGUGAGGAUGCUUACGUAGUUACGUGCGUCGGUGGAACAAAU